CCACCAGGGAUGGAAGCAGCAGGAACAAGGAUCCCACCUCCCAGGCAUAAGGUAAGAAGGGAGGGGGGAUAGCAAGUAAUGUUCCCCCACCUCCACCCCCACAAUCACCCACACACAUACAGCACACACACCCUCACAUACAGCACACACAGACAUAUACAGCACCCACAGACAUACACAGCACCUACACACAUACAGCACCCACAGACAUACACAGCACCUACACACACACACCGCACCCACAGACAUACACAGCACCCACACACACACACACUGCACCCACAGACAUACAGCACCUACACACAUACAGCACCCACAGACAUACACAGCACCUACACACAUACAGCACACACAUACAGCAUCCACAGACAUACACAGCACCCACACACAUACAGCACCAAUAGACAUACACAGCACCUACACAUAUACACAGCACCCACAGACAUACAGCACCCACAGACAUACAGCACACACAUAC